UCAAAAAAGCAAGCUAAAAAUAACUUAAUUUCUAUUGGCAUAAAUCCCAUUGAGACGGCACGGUAUAAUUUGUUGGUUCUUUCCCAAGCAAUAGACAAAAAUAGGCAAAUGCGUAGAUUUGACGCUCUAUGGUCUGUGAAUACCCGUGUAAAGGUGCGUUCACACUUGUUGGCACGUGUUAGAUAAACAUACAGCAUGGACGACGUUACUAGUCUUGAAAAUUUAUUGAAAAAGUUCACGGUCAUAGAAAGUGUUGCAACAGUUGUAUAUUUACAAUCGAAGCACAGUACUAACAUAUAAUACAUUAAUCUCACAAUUUUUGUGCGUGGUUCUAACUAAAUUUGAUCUUCCUUGUAACCCUGCCCUAGUCUUCCAUCUACUAAGCCCGGCCUACAUAUUGCUUAGCCAAUGGCAAUCAUUUUUCAACUGUUUGAUAGUGAAACCAAUCUCAACCAACAUGGCCGCUAACAAACCAAAUAAUCAUUGUAUCGAACAAAAGCUAGUUCAAAAUAUUACGCAGAUCGGCUUGUUUUUAACUGCAGUCAUAUAGUACUAAAGUUUAUACAGUUGUUAUAUUGUUGUAAGUGAUAAAUUUAACUAGCAGUCGUAUGUUUUGCUCAUUAUGUUUCAUGAUUGAUUGCUAGCAAAGGUCACAGACCAGUAGUGUGGCAUCUACCAGCACUAUGACAGGACCCGAGGUGCACAGGUGUGUGAGCAUCUCUGCGUGAGUGAGCGAGUGCUUCUGCACCACUAUGCCGUUGGCUGAGGCCUCGUCGAAGCGAAGCUGCACGCGUUCACGGUCCUGAGGAGGAAACAAAGUGUUCUUUGUAAGAUCAGUACAUCAUGGUAGUUAAGAAAUAAGACUGGGAAAUGAGCUCUUAUUGCAAAAUGUAACAGACUAGCUAACUCAUAGGGUAAUGGGAUGUCUUACUGUUUUCCUAGACUUAACCAGCAUUUUUUUAACCAACUUCCCAAAAAGGAGGAGGUUCUCAAUUCGUUGGGAUGUUUUUUUUUAUUGUCUAUAUUAAUAUGCAAUAAAACUUCACUUUCCAUGAUACAGA